rnacentral:rRNA from 1 species
GUGUCAGCAGCCGCGGUAAGACAGAGGGUGCGAACGUUGCUCGGAAUUACUGGGCGUAAAGCGUGUGUAGGCGGCCACGCAAGUCGGAUGUGAAAGCCCUGGGCUCAACCCAGGAAGUGCACCCGAUACUGCGACGGCUUGAGUACCGGAGAGGUUGGUGGAAUUCUCGGUGUAGAGGUGAAAUUCGUAGAUAUCGAGAGGAACACCGGUGGCGAAGGCGGCCAACUGGACGAGUACUGACGCUGAGACACGAAAGCGUGGGGAGCAAACAGGAUUAGAUACCCUUGUAGUCC